rnacentral:rRNA from 1 species
UACGGAGGGUGCAAGCGUUAUCCGGAUUCACUGGGUUUAAAGGGUGCGUAGGAGGGCAGGCAAGUCAGUGGUGAAAUCUCCAAGCUUAACUUGGAAACUGCCGUUGAUACUAUCUGUCUUGAAUCCCGUGGAGGUGAGCGGAAUAUGUCAUGUAGCGGUGAAAUGCUUAGAUAUGACAUAGAACACCAAUUGCGAAGGCAGCGCGCUACACGAAUAUUGACUCUGAGGCACGAAAGCGUGGGGAUCAAACAGG